UUACAUAAACAUCCACAAGCAAAAAAAAUUAAACUUUCUAGAUAACCUGUUUGUUCUGGAUACACAAAAAUAGUCUCACAUCGCUUGGUAAUCGAUGCUAAGGAGUGUUUAUGUACAACAUCCACAUCUUUCAAAUCACCGAGACGCUUUUUCUAGAAAUGACAAAAUCGUGACGGGGUAACCCCAAAGCGGACAAUCUCUCGAAAAUGUAGACUUGAAGUCGGAUUGAAACACCGUCAUUAAUAAACUGCCAAACAAAAAUAGACACUCCACUCAUCAGAAAAAUCAACCUGCAACACAACAUUAGAUACAAUAGUAUAACAAUCACCCUAUAAUUAUUCCUCCCAAACAAAAAAUCGUCUACGUCCGCUACCGCCACUCAUUCCCUCCUAACUCCUCUCGAGCCUAUUCAUAUGCACCAUAGUCACAUCCUUUUAUAUUCAAU
rnacentral:lncRNA from 1 species